AGAAUCAAAAGCAAAGAAAAAAAAAUAAGGACCAAUCCUUGAAGAAAAGGGAACUAAUUCUCAAAGUUUAUUAAUCUCAUAAAAUUGUCAUCACAAACACUGCUAACAAUGAAAAACCUAGGUCUUAUUUAUAGGAUUAGGAAUACCAAUCUCAUUAGGAUUUUAGAAUCCUAAUUUAUUUAUAAUUAGGAAUACUAAAUUAA
rnacentral:misc_RNA from 1 species